CCCUUAGAUGUUCUGGGCCGCACGCGCGCUACACUGAUCGGUGCAACAAGCAUCCGUCCUUGGCCGACAGGCUCGGGCAAUCUUUGAACGCUGGUCGUGAUGGGGAUAGACUUUUGCAAUUUUUGGUCUUCAACGAGGAAUUCCUAGUAAACGCAAGUCAUCAACUUGCAUUGAUUACGUCCCUGCCCUUUGUACACACCGCCCGUCGCACCUACCGAUUGAAUGGUCCGGUGAAGCCUCCGGAUUGGCGCGCACCUCGGUGCCGCCGAGAAGUUGGCUAAACCUUACCAUUUAGAGGAAGGUGAAGUCGUANCA
rnacentral:rRNA from 1 species